rnacentral:lncRNA from 10 species
CAGCUUUUAACAAUUGGGUAAACUAAAUUCCCGUGAGCAAAAUCUGAAGCAUAUUCCUCUACCUGAAUUCUCCAGAAUUUGAAAACUAUUAGCAAGUAUACUUAAUUUAUAGCAGUCUAGUUAUUUGCAUAAGUUCAAUAAGAAUCUGUUUUCUUUUGUAACAGGAUACAAUUGAAGACACUGGUUAUUUUACCAAGGCUUUGAUUGGAAUGGCUUACUUUCAGAUAUAAAUCAACUGCUUUAAGGAAUCAAAGUUGACUUACAGAGUCAUAAAAGCCCCUUGGGAAAGCUGGCCUCAUGCCUUUCCACACAGUUCCUGUACAGUUUCCUGACGUGUGGAAUGCCACGUUGACCCAUCACCUUGGCUGCAGAUGGCCUCCCUCCUGUGAUCAGACUCUGAGCAUCUCACCUGAUACAUGCUUCAUGCUGACACUCAGGCCCAGACUUUGGUCCCACACUGAGUCCCAACUUUGACCUCAGCCUGAGACACAACCUGGUUAUUGUCCUGGUAGAGACAGUUCCCCGAAUCCAGCCUCUGCCCAAACCCUCCUCCUAGACAUGGCUGAGCCCUAAUUUUGAUACAAAAUACUUGAAUUCAUCUUCAGAUUCAGUUCUGAUCCUAUACUGAACUAACUGAACACUACCAGGGAUCUGACUCCCUGAUAUUCGCUGGCGUCUCCCUGCGUGUUCUGAACCUAUGCUGACCAGCACCAGAAGGGUUCAGAGGGGUGAUUUCUUGCCUUGGGAUGAGAGAGCAAUGUUAGGGAUGACCAGCAGAGGGCGUGCAACAUCAGGUUCUAGAGGCAAGCGUCCAAGAGCCCACCUGUGAGCUAAAAAAAUUAAAGUUCUCGUUUUUGACACCAAAACUUUGGGGUUAUGUGGGUUCUUACAGUCAUGAAUCUUCUCCUUCUGGCUCACCUGGGCUCAGCACUGGGUAUGCACAGAAUGUGCUUAACUGUUUACUGGCAUCUCAGGUCUCAAGAGGACUGAAGUCACCCCACCCCCAAAUCAGCAUUUCUGUCACAUGCUUAAUACAGCUCCACUGCCUUCCUGGUAACCAGUUAUGUUUGGUCCUAUUGAGCAGAAAUCUGCCUCUCCACAGUGUUCACAUUUCAUCUUAGCCCUGUCCUUGGGACCACACUGACCUCAUUGGUCCAUCUGCCAAACAUCACCAUCUGCAUCCUUCAAAUCUGCUUCUCUCCAGGACCCAUGCCUUCAUGGACUCAUCCCCUGCCUUUCUCAAUUCUACUCACUAAGAUCAUGUUUCCCUGAAUGGGUUUCAGUUUGUGGUGCCCAGUUAUGAUUAGCUUUUUCCAGGAGAGCUGGUGCAGGGUACGAAUGAGCCGGCCUGCCUCCCUCCUCUGACUCUGAACUUCUUUCCACAUAGGCUCAGAUUACAUCAGUUUUUUCUGUGGUUGUUGUUUUGUUUUUCUUUUGAGAUGGAGUCUCGCCCUGUUGCCUAGGCUGGAGUGCAAUGGUGUGAUCUCGGCUCACUGCAACCUUUGCCUCCUGGGUUCAAGCAAUUCUUCUGCCUCAGCCUCCUGAGUAGCUGGAACUACAGGUGUGCACCACCACACCUGGCUAAUUUUUGCAUUUUUAGUAGAGACAGG